rnacentral:misc_RNA from 1 species
AAGCUACUCUGAUUAAGGGAGCACUUCAACCAGGCAAAAAAUUUUGAUUUAAGGAGUAGCAGGUUCCUAGUCCUCCUCCUCCUCCCCAAAUGAAAAAUAAGAAAAAGGCUGAUUAUACAAGUUGAAAUUGGUUUUACCUGGGAAAUCCAUUGUGCUUUUUAUACAUGCACUCUUAUGCGAGGUUCCUCUUUAGUUUAUUCACCCUGACACCUAGGAAAACAUUGAGCUUGAUGAUGCCUGCUUCCUGUAUCUCAAUAAUCAUUAUUUGGCUGUUGGGAACUUCUUCAUAUAAUCAUG